rnacentral:misc_RNA from 1 species
AAAAUGCGAUAAGUAAUGUGAAUUGCAGAAUUCAGUGAAUCAUCGAAUCUUUGAACGCACAUUGCGCCCGCCAGUAUUCUGGCGGGCAUGCCUGUUCGAGCGUCAUUUCAACCCUCAAGCCCCCGGGUUUGGUGUUGGGGAUCGGGCUGCGGUUCUACCGCGUCCCGGCCCCGAAAUCUAGUGGCGGUCUCGCUGCAGCCUCCAUUGCGUAGUAGCUAACACCUCGCAACUGGAACGCGGCGCGGCUAAGCCGUUAAACCCCCAACUUCUGAAUGUUGACCUCGGAUCAGGUAGGAAUACCCGCUGAACUUAAGC